rfam:Mustela putorius furo unplaced genomic scaffold scaffold00038, whole genome shotgun sequence.
AUCAUCUGGGGAGCUUGUUAAAAUGCAGAUUCUGGUUCAUGAGGUCUGAAGCCAGACCAGAGAUUCUGCAUUUCUAACAAGCUCUCAGGUGCUGUCAA